rnacentral:rRNA from 1 species
GACGAACGCUGGCGGCGUGCCUAAUACAUGCAAGUCGAGCGGAUCUCUUCGGAGAUCAGCGGCGGACGGGUGAGUAACACGUGGGCAACCUGCCUGUAAGAUCGGGAUAACUUCGGGAAACCGGAGCUAAUACCGGAUAAUCCUUUCCGACUCAUGUCGGGAAGCUGAAAGACGGCAUCUCGCUGUCACUUACAGAUGGGCCCGCGGCGCAUUAGCUAGUUGGUAGGGUAACGGCCUACCAAGGCGACGAUGCGUAGCCGACCUGAGAGGGUGAUCGGCCACACUGGGACUAAGACACGGCCCAGACUCCUACGGGAGGCAGCAGUAGGGAAUCUUCCGCAAUGGACGAAAGUCUGACGGAGCAACGCCGCGUGAGCGAAGAAGGCCUUCGGGUCGUAAAGCUCUGUUGUCAGGGAAGAACAAGUACCGGAGUAACUGCCGGUACCUUGACGGUACCUGACCAGAAAGCCACGGCUAACUACGUGCCAGCCGCCGCAGUAACAC